GGUUAAGUUAGAAAGGGCGCACGGUGGAUGCCUUGGCACUAGGAGCCGAUGAAGGACGGGACGAACACCGAUAUGCUUCGGGGAGCUGUAAGCAAGCUUUGAUCCGGAGAUUUCCGAAUGGGGAAACCCACCACUCGUAAUGGAGUGGUAUCCAUAUCUGAAUACAUAGGAUAUGAGAAGGCAGACCCGGGGAACUGAAACAUCUAAGUACCCGGAGGAAGAGAAAGCAAAUGCGAUUCCCUGAGUAGCGGCGAGCGAAACGGGACCAGCCCAAACCAAGAGGCUUGCCUCUUGGGGUUGUAGGACACUCUGUACGGAGUUACAAAGGGACGAGGUAGAUGAAGAGGUCUGGAAAGGCCCGCCAUAGGAGGUAACAGCCCUGUAGUCAAAACUUCGUUCUCUCCUGAGUGGAUCCUGAGUACGGCGGAACACGUGAAAUUCCGUCGGAAUCCGGGAGGACCAUCUCCCAAGGCUAAAUACUCCCUAGUGACCGAUAGUGAACCAGUACCGUGAGGGAAAGGUGAAAAGCACCCCGGAAGGGGAGUGAAAGAGAUCCUGAAACCGUGUGCCUACAAGUAGUCAGAGCCCGUUAACGGGUGAUGGCGUGCCUUUUGUAGAAUGAACCGGCGAGUUACGAUCCCGUGCAAGGUUAAGCAGAAGAUGCGGAGCCGCAGCGAAAGCGAGUCUGAAUAGGGCGAAUUGAGUACGUGGUCGUAGACCCGAAACCAGGUGAUCUACCCAUGUCCAGGGUGAAGUUCAGGUAACACUGAAUGGAGGCCCGAACCCACGCACGUUGAAAAGUGCGGGGAUGAGGUGUGGGUAGGGGUGAAAUGCCAAUCGAACCUGGAGAUAGCUGGUUCUCUCCGAAAUAGCUUUAGGGCUAGCCUCAAGGUAAGAGUCUCGGAGGUAGAGCACUGAUUGGACUAGGGGCCCCUACCGGGUUACCGAAUUCAGUCAAACUCCGAAUGCCGAUGACUUAUCCUUGGGAGUCAGACUGCGAGUGAUAAGAUCCGUAGUCGAAAGGGAAACAGCCCAGACCGCCAGCUAAGGUCCCAAAGUAUACGUUAAGUGGAAAAGGAUGUGGAGUUGCUUAGACAACCAGGAUGUUGGCUUAGAAGCAGCCACCAUUUAAAGAGUGCGUAAUAGCUCACUGGUCGAGUGACUCUGCGCCGAAAAUGUACCGGGGCUAAACGUAUCACCGAAGCUGCGGACUGUUCUUCGAACAGUGGUAGGAGAGCGUUCUAAGGGCUGUGAAGCAAGACCGGAAGGACUUGUGGAGCGCUUAGAAGUGAGAAUGCCGGUAUGAGUAGCGAAAGAGGGGUGAGAAUCCCCUCCACCGAAUGCCUAAGGUUUCCUGAGGAAGGCUCGUCCGCUCAGGGUUAGUCGGGACCUAAGCCGAGGCCGAAAGGCGUAGGCGAUGGAUAACAGGUUGAUAUUCCUGUACCACCUCCUCACCAUUUGAGCAAUGGGGGGACGCAGGAGGAUAGGGUAAGCGCGGUAUUGGAUAUCCGCGUCCAAGCAGUUAGGCUGGGAAAUAGGCAAAUCCGUUUCCCGUGAAGGCUGAGCUGUGAUGGCGAGCGAAUUAUAGUAGCGAAGUUCCUGAUUCCACACUGCCAAGAAAAGCCUCUAGCGAGGUGAGAGGUGCCCGUACCGCAAACCGACACAGGUAGGCGAGGAGAGAAUCCUAAGGUGAUCGAGAGAACUCUCGUUAAGGAACUCGGCAAAAUGACCCCGUAACUUCGGGAGAAGGGGUGCUCUGUUAGGGUGCAAGCCCGAGAGAGCCGCAGUGAAUAGGCCCAGGCGACUGUUUAGCAAAAACACAGGUCUCUGCGAAGCCGUAAGGCGAAGUAUAGGGGCUGACGCCUGCCCGGUGCUGGAAGGUUAAGAGGAGCGCUUAGCGUAAGCGAAGGUGCGAAUUGAAGCCCCAGUAAACGGCGGCCGUAACUAUAACGGUCCUAAGGUAGCGAAAUUCCUUGUCGGGUAAGUUCCGACCCGCACGAAAGGCGCAACGAUCUGGGCACUGUCUCAACGAGAGACUCGGUGAAAUUAUAGUACCUGUGAAGAUGCAGGUUACCCGCGACAGGACGGAAAGACCCCGUGGAGCUUUACUGCAGCCUGAUAUUGAAUGUUGGUACAGCUUGUACAGGAUAGGUAGGAGCCUUGGAAACCGGAGCGCCAGCUUCGGUGGAGGCAUCGGUGGGAUACUACCCUGGCUGUAUUGACCUUCUAACCCGCCGCCCUUAUCGGGCGGGGAGACAGUGUCAGGUGGGCAGUUUGACUGGGGCGGUCGCCUCCUAAAAGGUAACGGAGGCGCCCAAAGGUUCCCUCAGAAUGGUUGGAAAUCAUUCGCAGAGUGUAAAGGCACAAGGGAGCUUGACUGCGAGACCUACAAGUCGAGCAGGGACGAAAGUCGGGCUUAGUGAUCCGGUGGUUCCGCAUGGAAGGGCCAUCGCUCAACGGAUAAAAGCUACCCCGGGGAUAACAGGCUUAUCUCCCCCAAGAGUCCACAUCGACGGGGAGGUUUGGCACCUCGAUGUCGGCUCAUCGCAUCCUGGGGCUGUAGUCGGUCCCAAGGGUUGGGCUGUUCGCCCAUUAAAGCGGUACGCGAGCUGGGUUCAGAACGUCGUGAGACAGUUCGGUCCCUAUCCGUCGCGGGCGCAGGAAAUUUGAGAGGAGCUGUCCUUAGUACGAGAGGACCGGGAUGGACGCACCGCUGGUGUACCAGUUGUUCUGCCAAGGGCAUCGCUGGGUAGCUAUGUGCGGACGGGAUAAGUGCUGAAAGCAUCUAAGCAUGAAGCCCCCUCAAGAUGAGAUUUCCCAUUCCGCAAGGAAGUAAGAUCCCUGAAAGAUGAUCAGGUUGAUAGGUCUGAGGUGGAAGUGUGGCGACACAUGGAGCUGACAGAUACUAAUCGAUCGAGGACUUAACCAA
rnacentral:rRNA from 1 species